UACGUAGGGGGCAAGCGUUGUCCGGAAUCAUUGGGCGUAAAGCGCGCGUAGGCGGCCCUGUAAGUCCGUUGUGAAAGUCAAAGGCUCAACCUUUGAAAGCCGAUGGAUACUGCAGGGCUAGAGUCCGGAAGAGGCGAGUGGAAUUCCUGGUGUAGCGGUGGAAUGCGCAGAUAUCGGGAGGAACACCAAUGGCGAAGGCAGCUCGCUGGGACGUGACUGACGCUGAGGAGCGAAAGCGUGGGGAGCGAACAGG
rnacentral:rRNA from 1 species